GCAUGUGAUGAUUGGCGUUGCAACGCGUUUUGGCUACAGAAAAAAAAAAAAAUUCAUUGCAUCUCUUCGAUCCAUUGCAUCUCUUCGAUCCUGCCUUCGGUCCCUCCGCUUCUCCUCACGCCGACGAUUUCGAGCUCUCUCACGCCGGCGAUUACGAGCUUGUUCCCUGACGAGCUAAGGAUCAUUCAAGGAGGACCUAUGAAAAUGGGUCUAGAGAAAAGCUUUACGAACAUCUUUAAAGCACGUGAUUUUUACGGGAUUAAUUCUUUCCGUAUAUAGCAAUUAACUUUUUGAUCAGUGUAGCAAGUAGUAACGGCUUGAAUCAUCUUUUUUUCUGGUAUUUACGAACAUUGCAGCAUAAUGUAUAACAUAUAUUGCUGUGCAUGAUAAACCAUAUACCAUAUAUUGGAGUUCAAUAAGAAUUCCUUUUUUCGAGCAAGUAUUGUGCUUCGAUUCCUUUUGCAAAUUACUACUAUUAUAUGGAUUAUUUGAAUUCUAGUUUCAAAUAAUCUGCCAUAUAUGCACACAGCCAAGAUUCUCUUCUUGCCCUCUUCUGGAUUCUCUCAAUCUUUUGGAUGAGGUUUUGUCUUAGACUUGUUUUGGAAACUUUGUUGUAUUGUGUUACUUCUUGAGCAAAUAUAGUCUUCUAACAUUUGGCCAUCGAAUCUGCCAAAGGUUAACAAACCA